ensembl:snoRNA small nucleolar RNA SNORD94
AGGGCGAUGAUGAGUGGCGCAGGGGUACGUACCUCAGCUGAUAAUGGGAGCUGAGUGUUGACUGUUCAAGAUCAGUGGACAUGUGGUCAGCUGGUUGUAGGGCGUCAGCACGAAACUAUCGCCUUAACUGAGCUCC